AAAAUAUUUCACAGGCAGGAACCAGGGCAUCAGUACACAGGAAUCCAGGUUGUCACUCCAGCAUUUGUGUAUCUCAGCUAAUGACAAUCAGUGGAAAACAAACAAACAAAACAAAACAGCCACUGUGGCAAGAAUCAAGUCCUAAAGGUGCAAAUUUUCAUCCUUGAGAAAUCAGAUGUUUCUUCAACUCAACACACUGAAAAUAAGACUGAUUCGGGAAUUUUGAUUCCAUCACCUACCUGUGUAGUGAGUCAAAGUCCUCUGGAAGAAGGGCAUCUUCAAAAGUGCAUUUAAAGAAACAUUAAGGAGCAGUGCAUCGUGUUUUUGCUGCACAGAUGUGGCUACUCAGAGUUUUGAGUCUAGUGAUAAUGGUGCUUAUGUUAGGAAAGGCUGGGACUAGAAUAUUAUUGCAGGAAAUCUGUAUUUACCAUGAGAUUUAUUGGUGUGGGUCAUGUGCCAGAAGUGCACCUGGCAUGGCUGUUCUGUAGCUUUUUUCUCAGUUCAGUUCCAGCAAUAAUAAUCAGUUACACAUUGCAGCACCCAUAUGUUCACUAGUUUCUGAAUAACAUCACUGUACUGAGUUGAGUGCAAUGCCACAACACUUUGUCAAGGUACAGUACACCUCAGUUCCUCCCACAAUGAAGUGCUAUGCCAACUUCAAUGUCCAAAAGGAAGCACUAUCUAUAAGUUGUGUGUGCUCCAGAACAUGAAGGAACAGUGUAUGUUGAUGCGUUACAAUACUGUAAAUUGUUACAGAAUUUCAGCAUCAGAGGGCGUAGGGAAGAAAGCUCGAUGACAUGUUAGAUCUGCUUUUCAGAACUGCUUGUUUUCUUAAGAGCUGCUCUAAAGAUAAAUCAAAGUGUAGUAUGCAUUAAUCACACUUUUUUUCUUAGAGUCUCUAAAAUCUGCACACAAAUACUUUUCUCCUCCUUACUUCAGAGGUACGUGCGUCUUCAUAAUCGCAUGUAUAAAAAACACGAAUACAGCAAAAUCAAAUGAAGAAUUCUGCAACACUAAUUAAGGAUGCAUUUUAGAAGAAACUGGGAUCAAUGGUGUCAAGAAAGCUAUUUUGCCUUGGGCACUCUCUCCAGAAGUGGUACUUGGUAGUAAAGGUGACCUUUCACAUACAACAGUUAGAAAACACAUCUGUUAAAGACAGAGUAACUUAUAAAGUCAUUUAUAACUUAAUUCUAUAUCAGGACUGUGUUUUUCCUCGUACAGUAAAAGCAGUUACGGUGGUUACUGCUACUGAUGGCAAUGAAAAUACAGCAGAAUUUGUGGAAAC
rnacentral:lncRNA from 7 species